rnacentral:rRNA from 1 species
GAUGAACGCUGACAGAAUGCUUAACACAUGCAAGUCAACUUGAAUUUGGGUUUUUAACUUAGGUUUGGGUGGCGGACGGGUGAGUAACGCGUAAAGAACUUGCCUCACAGCUAGGGACAACAUUUGGAAACGAAUGCUAAUACCUAAUAUUAUGAUAAUAGGGCAUCCUAUAAUUAUGAAAGCUAUAAGCGCUGUGAGAGAGCUUUGCGUCCCAUUAGCUAGUUGGAGAGGUAACGGCUCACCAAGGCGAUGAUGGGUAGCCGGCCUGAGAGGGUGAUCGGCCACAAGGGGACUGAGACACGGCCCUUACCCCUACGGGAGGCAGCAGUGGGGAAUAUUGGACAAUGGACCGAGAGUCUGAUCCAGCAAUUCUGUGUGCACGAUGAAGUUUUUCGGAAUGUAAAGUGCUUUCAGUUGGGAAGAAACAAAUGACGGUACCAACAGAAGAAGUGACGGCUAAAUACGUG